GCACUCUUAGUUCAGUUGUAGAAUUCUCGCCUGCCACGCGGGGGGCCCGGGUUCGAUUCCCGGCCAGUGCA
rfam:Nematostella vectensis strain CH2 x CH6 NEMVEscaffold_1916_Cont39375, whole genome shotgun sequence.